AAGAUCAGGCGUAUGGCAGAAACUCGCAACUUUCGACAUCCUUUGACCCGAGGAACUCGAUAGCAUUCUUAAUAUCGGUGAUCUUAAUUUAAAGUCGCAGGUACAUGGUGAAAUUAAAAAUGCAGGACAUAAGUUUUGUCAAAUUUUAUUAUUUGGAUUCCAAAUUAAAUCUUAUUAUGAUGCAUUAAGAUGAUUGAAUUGGUUGAUACACACAAACAUACAUCUCAUACAACUCGACUGCAAUCCGCAGGAGCGAAGGAUAAUAGUUUCUCUCUGACAUUGUACGAGAUACGGUGAUUGUAUUGGUAAUGUUCUCCGAGAAUGCUGAAGUUCGGAACACCUACUAUGCCG
rnacentral:lncRNA from 1 species